GAUGAACGCUAGCGACAGGCCUAACACAUGCAAGUCGAGGGGCAGCACAUGAGUAGCAAUACGAUGGUGGCGACCGGCGCACGGGUGAGUAACACGUAUGCAACCUGCCUGUAAGAGGGGAAUAACCCGGAGAAAUUCGGACUAAUACCGCAUAAUACCACGAGACUGCAUGGUUUUGUGGUUAAACAUUUAUGGCUUACAGAUGGGCAUGCGUAUGAUUAGAUAGUUGGUAGGGUAACGGCCUACCAAGUCUACGAUCAUUAGGGGUUCUGAGAGGAAGGUCCCCCACACUGGUACUGAGACACGGACCAGACUCCUACGGGAGGCAGCAGUGAGGAAUAUUGGUCAAUGGGCGAGAGCCUGAACCAGCCAAGUCGCGUGAAGGAAGAAGGUUCUAUGGAUUGUAAACUUCUUUUGCAGGGGAAUAAAGGACGGUACGUGUACUGUUUUGUAUGUACCUUGCGAAUAAGGAUCGGCUAACUCCGUGCCAGCCGCCGCGGUAA
rnacentral:rRNA from 1 species